AUUCACAACUAUAAUUUAUCCAUCUCUAAAAAGAGGAAAAACCCAUGUUUCCAUUCCCUUUCUUGCUCAGACUACAAGAAGCGACUUCAAGUUUCAGCCACCAGAAAACAGCAGCAAGAACAGCAAGAGCAGCAGGAAGAGCAGAAGCUGCUUUCUGGCUUAAGUGAUCAGAUAUGGAAUGGAAAAAAAUCACUUCAAGAAAAUGGUUCUGAUGAAGCAACUGAUUUAGGGUGGUUGCCUGCUUUUCCUUAUGCAUUGUUUGCUUCUAUGUUCAAUUUCCUCUUUGGAUAUCACAUUGGAGUGAUGAAUGGUCCUAUUGUCUCUGUUGCCAAAGAACUUGGUUUUGAAGGAAAUUCCUUUCUCGAAGGACUUGUUGUUAGUACAUUUAUUGGUGGUGCAUUUGUUGGAAGCAUUAGCUCUGGUUUUCUUGUGGAUAAACUUGGUUGUAGGCGAGCCUUUCAAGUUGACACAAUACCUCUUGUUCUUGGUGCAAUCAUCAGGUAAUUACAUGGUCUCUAUUGGUGUUGCUGUUUAUUUUACCCUGGCAAUAUACUGGGGUAUUUCCAAUUUAAUCCUUUAUUAUAAUCGAAUUUGUUUUCUUGCUUAAAAUUAUGUCUGUGAUUUUGUUUGGUUUUCUUGUUUUUUGUAUUCAAUUUGUCCACCAAGCCAUACUGCCUUCUUGUUGGAAUAUCCAAAGAAUGGCAUUUUGGUGUGCUUCAAUUGUUUUCAAGAUUGACCACCUUUAAAUGCUCUCCAGAAUGUAUCUAACUUGGUAUUUUGCAUGUCUUUACUGGGAAAAUAAGAUUGUCACCUCGAGAAGAUGAUAACAACCCUUCAAAAAAGUUGUAACAAUUGGUAAAAACAAAUGGGAAAGAAGUAUGCACGAAAUCAAUGAUCGCUCCUUGCAUAUAUGUCAUAUUUCAUCUGUGUGUUUUUGAAGUCAUAAACAUGCAUCGUUCUAUAAAAGUAUACAGACUUUCUCGGGUUUUAUAUGAUAAUCAUACCUCACACCUCUCUAUACCUUGAUGCAUAAGAUAACUUUGAAGAAGUAAACUUUUGUUGCACUAUACCUUUAAGCUUAUCCUGCCUUUUCCAAGAACCUACUGUCACAGUGAUGCAUUUCUGCAGGUGCUUAAUACUCAAACAAAUUGAUUGAAAUUUGUGGCCAUUACAUAAAAUAUAUUGAAAUCAGCUAGUGUGAUAUCUUUUUAGUUGCAUGUGUUCUAAGUGUAUAAGGGUGAACAAUCAUUAUCAAUGCCCCCUAGUCCUUAGACUACCUUUGAGCUUUACAAUUUUCUUUCGCUUAAAGAUUUUUUUGGUUUUCUUCCUGACUGUUGAAAGCAUUGUACCAUGCACGUACAAGUUUCUCCUCCCAAUGCUUAGUGGUCAAAUUCUACCUAAUUAAAUUGUUGUUCCACUCUAUCAUUUCAGGUUUUCAAUUGUCUCCAUUACAUGUUGUUAGCAGAUUCAAACUAAUUCUUUAGCUUAUUGCCUUUUGUAAACAUCUAUCGGAGCUAAGAACCUUGAUGAUAAAUUUUGGCCCACAUUUUUGUAAAUUUUGGCUACACUAAUUUCUUUUUGUUGCUAUCUUUGGAUGAUCUACAAGUUAAAAGCUGAUGUGUUGAAUUUUCUUGCCAGUACUUCUAGUGGAAAUAAAGAAGUAUAAUUUGAGUCUUAACCAAAUCAGGAGGUUAUUCUGUAUCAAUUUUGAGGUUCGUAGUUAAUUGUAAGAGUAUCAUAUCAUAUAUCUAUGAGCCUUGAAUUUCUAUAGUUUUAUGGCCCGGAUAGGUCUAGCUAAAUUAAUCAAAUCUUUCCUUCCAUGCAAGGUGCCUCUCCUGAAUUCUGACAAUAUUUUAGUAAUCUUAACACAAAGUAAGUUUUUGUGAUCACUUAUGAUUAUACAUGCUACCCUGAGUUUGAGUUCAAGUUAGAGUUCUUUAGGAGGUAGAGUGAACUAUAGAUUUAAUGUGUUUGUUCUGCCCUUCCUACUCCCUGCAUCCCAUUUGUCUUGUCGCCCAAACCCCAUGACACUAGGUUUAAGGACCUAGCUUUUCCAACAAUUUUUUUAAUCACAUCUUGCAAGAAUUUAGCUUGGUCUUCUAAUGUAUAUUGUGUAACUUGAGUAUAUGAAGUUGGAAAGUUGCCUUCACAAACUAUCCACUCUCUCUCCCUCUUUCUUUCUUUGCUUUCCCCAACAAACUAUCCAUUCUUACUAAGAUGUCUUUUUAAUUGGACAUCCCAAAAAGAAAUUAUAACAGUAUUAAAUACGACAGAAGGAUUAUUAGUUUUGGUUGUGUUUGAACUUAUAUUUCUGCAUGCUUUUUCCUUGUUCUGUACUGAAAGCUCUUCUGCGGAGUUGACGGUAAGCCAUCCAAUCUUGACCUGUUGACUUAUCUGGGCUUAGAGCCAGCUAUCCGGUUCCUAAUUACAACCUCUAUUUUCCAUUUUUCACUUUGUUUAUGUCGUGCUUUCAUGCAGUGUUUUGUGAAGUUAGAGAAUCUGAUGUUCUCAAAAAGGCGACUGUUGGAAACUGGACAGAGUGAACUCUAAAGAAUGGUGUACCUGGUUUGGUGCAUUCUUUUGACCAAACAGUUAUAAAAUACUUUUCCACCACAUGGAGGCAAAGAGAUAUGACUAAUAUUUUCAGCACAUGAAGGCUGAAAGUUAUUUGUGUUGGGAAUAACUUGACUCCAGAAAUUAGCCACUAGAAGCUCAAGCUAAAGACAGAGCACAACAUUUUGCACAUACACUAUAUAGAAAUGAGAAAUACAGGAAAUAUGACUGUGUUAAUCAUCAAACUGUUGACCAUAAUUUCCCCUUCAACCUAAUUGAUUUUGAUGUUUUUGGAUCAAUCAUUUAGAAAUGGGCUGCAGUUGGGUUAACUAAAAAGUGGAGUGAGAUAUAAUUUUUGGGAUGAUGAGAAGGCAAAUGCACUGGAAACUCUGGACUUCUGAUACUAAAGAUUUUUCAAGUUUGAAGAAGAGGGUACUAGAGCCUAAUAAGCUUUGUGUGAUAUUAUGCUCAAGUUUUCUAUUCCUUUCUUAUUGUGCACUUAUUUACAACUAUGUGUAAACAGGCAAAAGAGUAUAUGCAUGCUUUGCAUUCUUUCUGCUUUGAUGCAUAAGGAUUUAUUCCUAGAUUAUGGCUGCGGCAAAUUUAUUUUUGUGAAUCCUGUUUCAAAUGCAUUGUCCUGGAGUUCUCUCAGAUAUGCAUCCUUCCUAUAGCCAUACUGCUUUCUUAUCUAGAUCCAUUAUCAAACUUGUGACAGUGCACAAGCCCACUCAUUAGACGAAAUACUGUGGGGCAGAUUUCUUGUUGGCCUUGGUGUUGGUGUGAACACGGUUCUUGUUCCUAUUUACAUCUCAGAGAUUGCUCCAACAACGUACCGAGGUUUCCUGGGAACGUUGAGUCAAAUUGGCACAUGCCUUGGAGUUAUUGCAUCACUUUUCCUGGGAAUUCACUCAGAAAGUGAUCCCCAUUGGUGGCGGACAAUUCUAUAUAUUGCGAGCAUCCCUGGGUUUAUUCUGGCGAUUGGAAUGCAAUUUGCUGUAGAAAGUCCUCGCUGGCUAUGCAAGGCUGGGAGAUCUGAUGAGGCAAUAGAAGUUAUCAAGAAACUCUGGGGGCCAUCAGAAGUCAACAGAGCUAUUGAAAAUAUUCAGUCUGUCAUUAGGAGUGAUGGAGCUGAUCUGGACACCAGUUGGUUGGAACUCUUAGAGGAGCCACAUUCUAGAGGUUGUAUUAAGUUGCAUUCAUUGGUGGUGCCCUUUUUCUGCUUCAACAAUUUGCUGGCGUAAAUGGAGUUCUCUUCUUUUCAUCAUUGACUUUUGCUGACGUUGGAAUCACAAGCAGUGCUCUAGCAAGCUUAUGUGUUGGAUUUACCAACCUUGCAGGGGCACUCAGUGCUACAUACUUGAUGGAAAAGCAGGGAAGGAAAAGCCUUCUGAUAGGAAGCUACUUGGGAAUGACUGCGUCGAUGUUGCUUGUGGUGUCUGCCAUCAGCUUGCCAGUAGAGAAGGACAUUGGCAACACGUUAUCUGUUCUAGGAACUACCAUGUACAUAUUCUUUUUUGCCUCUGGAGCCGGGCCAGUAACUGGUCUUAUUAUACCAGAGCUUAGCAGCACCAGGACACGAGGAAAGAUCAUGAGCUUCAGUCUUGCUGUUCACUGGGUAUGCAACUUCUUGGUGGGACAAUUUUUUCUGGAACUGGCGGAAAAAUUUGGUGUGGCUUCAGUUUAUGCAGGCUUCGGCGGAUUUUCCUUGAUGGCAGCAACAUUUGGUUAUUACUUUACAGUUGAAACUAAAGGCCGGUCUCUUGAAGAAAUCGAGAUGUCAUUAAAUCCCAAUUUCCUUGGCGGGAAUAAGUGAUAUUGUCUAAUCCAGUGUGGAAAAGGGGAAUAUCUGCUCCAUGUAAAAGGGCUUCAUUCUCCUCCAUGGUCUCUAAAAUUGAUUCACAAGUUCAUGGUUGUGGCUGCUUGAUCCUCCUACAACUUCGAAUUUUGUGAUGUUGUCUCAGUAGACAGGCAAAAAAGGUGUUCUCAGUAUUCUUCUCAAUGCUUUAAUUUAUUUUACUGUUAAUCUUUAUUGGAUACUUGUGCAAAAAGAGGGAGCUGGAUGGUUUAAUGACAAAAAGUAACUCCAAGAAAUGCUAUUGUUUGUUUCAGAUAUUCUAGAGGUUGUACAGAGGGGCUGAAAACAAUUGCAAUUGUUGCUGUAAACUAGUUGCAAUUUUAGUACAUUAAAGGUUUAAAAAUUAGCUUUAAAGCGAAUUGAGACAGCUCCAAGUAAUAGUAGUGUAACAAUUGUAAAGUUCGGCUGUGAAACACCAAAUGAUCACAUUACUAUUCUCAAUGGUAGUUGUCACCAGUAACAUCAUUCAUGAAAAUCAUA